rnacentral:rRNA from 1 species
UUACCCCGCUGAAAAUUAGCAUAUAGUAGCGGAGGAGUAGAAACUAAAUAGGAUUCCCUUAGUAAUGGCGAAUGAACAGGGAUAAGCUCAGCAUGGAAAUUGGGGCCUCUGGCCCUUGAAUUGUAGUCUUGAGAUGUGCUGCCAACGGAGGCGCAGAUGUAAGCCUCUUGGAAAAGAGCAUCAGUGAGGGUGAGAGUCCCGUCUGUCAUCUGCAGUUCUCUGUGCACGGUGCAUUUUCUAAGAGUCACGUUCCUCGGGAUUGGAGCGCAAAUUGGGUGGUAAAUUUCAUCUAAAGCUAAAUAUUGGUUCGAGACCGAUAGCAAACAAGUACCAUGAGGGAAAGGUGAAAAGGACUUUGAAAAGAGAGUUAAAAGUGCCUGAAAUUGCUGAAAGGGAAGCGAAUGGAACCAGUUGUUCUUGGCGAGUAUUGGUGUUGUCUAAAGUGAUGGCUUGCCACCUCAACGCAAGUGUGGUGGCAGGUUUUGAUCUGGAUGCGAUACUGCUUCUCGCCUUGCAUGUCAACGUCAGUUCACAAUUGAGGAAAACUCUAGGGACAUGGUAAUUUGCUUCCGGGUGACUGAAUGUGCCUAGUCGAACUCAUUUGUGAACUGCUCCCUGUGUGUCUGGUAGCAGUGCUCUGCUGUGCAUCGUCAAAAGCUUAAGCCUCGCCUUGUGCCUGGCUUUCGCUGUCUGUCGGUGCCUGGAGCACGUCCUUGACAUAAGUACGAUGACGAAAUGGUUUUAUUCGACCCGUCUUGAAACACGGACCAAGGAGUCUAACAUAUGUGCAAGUUCACGGGUGGUAAACCUUCUUGCGCAAUGAAAGUGACUGCUGGGAUAUCUGCACCAGCAACCGACCAAUCAAUUGUGAGAGGUUUGAGUAUGAGCAUAUCUGUUAGGACCCGAAAGAUGGUGAACUAUGCCUGAGAAGGGUGAAGUCAGGGGAAACUCUGAUGGAGGCUCGUAGCGAUACUGACGUGCAAAUCGUUCGUCAUACUUGGGUAUAGGGGCGAAAGUUCAUAGUCGAACCAUCUAGUAGCUGUUUCCCUUCCGAA